UGCAGUCGAGCGGACAGAAGGGAGCUUGCUCCCGGAUGUUAGCGGCGGACGGGUGAGUAACACGUGGGUAACCUGCCUGUAAGACUGGGAUAACUCCGGGAAACCGGAGCUAAUACCGGAUAGUUCCUUGAACCGCAUGGUUCAAGGAUGAAAGACGGUUUCGGCUGUCACUUACAGAUGGACCCGCGGCGCAUUAGCUAGUUGGUGGGGUAAUGGCUCACCAAGGCGACGAUGCGUAGCCGACCUGAGAGGGUGAUCGGCCACACUGGGACUGAGACACGGCCCAGACUCCUACGGGAGGCAGCAGUAGGGAAUCUUCCGCAAUGGACGAAAGUCUGACGGAGCAACGCCGCGUGAGUGAUGAAGGUUUUCGGAUCGUAAAGCUCUGUUGUUAGGGAAGAACAAGUGCGAGAGUAACUGCUCGCACCUUGACGGUACCUAACCAGAAAGCCACGGCUAACUACGUGCCAGCAGCCGCGGUAAUACGUAGGUGGCAAGCGUUGUCCGGAAUUAUUGGGCGUAAAGGGCUCGCAGGCGGUUUCUUAAGUCUGAUGUGAAAGCCCCCGGCUCAACCGGGGAGGGUCAUUGGAAACUGGGAAACUUGAGUGCAGAAGAGGAGAGUGGAAUUCCACGUGUAGCGGUGAAAUGCGUAGAGAUGUGGAGGAACACCAGUGGCGAAGGCGACUCUCUGGUCUGUAACUGACGCUGAGGAGCGAAAGCGUGGGGAGCGAACAGGAUUAGAUACCCUGGUAGUCCACGCCGUAAACGAUGAGUGCUAAGUGUUAGGGGGUUUCCGCCCCUUAGUGCUGCAGCUAACGCAUUAAGCACUCCGCCUGGGGAGUACGGUCGCAAGACUGAAACUCAAAGGAAUUGACGGGGGCCCGCACAAGCGGUGGAGCAUGUGGUUUAAUUCGAAG
rnacentral:rRNA from 1 species